GGUGACGCCUACGAUCGAAUCCCUCACUCUGACCUAACCUUGGAAAACUCCAUCUCUGAGAUUUGGGAGCAGAGAAGUGUACAAAACAAAUCUCUCUUCAAUGGAAAUAAAUUCAGAUAUGGAGGGCAUGUUCUGCACACUGGAGGUGAAUCUGACAAUGAGCCACAUGUAUGCCUUCACCUAGGUUUGACGGAUUAUAGGUUGCUUCUCAGUGCUCAUGUUGGAGUUGUUUCAUUUUUAUUUAU